CCUCGGGAGGCAGCAGUGGGGAAUAUUGGACAAUGGGCGCAAGCCUGAUCCAGCCAUGCCGCGUGAGUGAUGAAGGCCCUAGGGUUGUAAAGCUCUUUUGGCGGGGAAGAUAAUGACGGUACCCGCAGAAUAAGCCCCGGCUAACUUCGUGCCAGCAGCCGCGGUAAUACGAAGGGGGCUAGCGUUGCUCGGAAUCACUGGGCGUAAAGCGCACGUAGGCGGAUUCUUAAGUCAGAGGUGAAAGCCUGGAGCUCAACUCCAGAACUGCCUUUGAUACUGGGAGUCUCGAGUUCGGGAGAGGUGAGUGGAACUGCGAGUGUAGAGGUGAAAUUCGUAGAUAUUCGCAAGAACACCAGUGGCGAAGGCGGCUCACUGGCCCGAUACUGACGCUGAGGUGCGAAAGCGUGGGGAGCAAACAGGAUUAGAUACCCGAGUAGUCC
rnacentral:rRNA from 1 species